UCGUCGUCGUUCGUCCGUGAACGAAGAAGCAUGAAGAACGAAAAGCUACGCAUCCGUCGACGCCGGAAAUAAGAAUAUAACCGUUCGUCCUCGUACAGUCGUAGCAUGAUGUUUACGAGAAUGUGAUCUUCGGGAUUGCACGAGCAAAAGGAUUAAAAAUAAUCAUUGGAUGUGGCCAACCGUGAUGAAAAAUGAGCGAUGCCCCGGAUAGAUUUUUCUAUCAACUCCUUCCACUUUCUCAAUGCGAUUAUUUUGUUCGGUUGGAAUAAGACUUCGUCGCCAGAUCCUUCUUGUCAACCGCGAACGUCCUGAGAAGGGUCUACUUCGUGGAGCAGGAGGAGUGAGAAAAGGAAAGUGGAAAGGGGAGGAAACGGAAAGGUGUAGAGAUGUUGAAAUCAACGACAGACGGUGACACCUAGAAGACUUAUUUCGCUGGAGGAAGAUGCGCAAUACUCGUCAUCCCUUUUUCAAGCUUUACAGAGCUUUUCUUCCACUCCGUUCAUUCUUCCAUUUCGUUCAACUUUCGACGUUCCACUAUGC